rnacentral:rRNA from 1 species
UUUAGUCAGGCAACAAGCGAGACCUGUAUCUACAAUUGCCAGCGAUAUCUUCGGAUAGAUUGGGCACAUUGUAGGAACUGCCUUGGAAACAAGGAGGAAGGUGCAGGCAACGGUAGGUCUGUAUGCCCCGAAUCCUCUGGGCUACACGCGCGCAACAAUGGUAUGGACAAUGGGAUGCAACUCCGAAAGGAGAAGCUAAACCUCUAAACCAUAUCCCAGUCCAGAUUGUGGUUUGUAACUCAGCCACAUGACGUUGGAAUCCCUAGUAACCAGACGUUAGCAUCGUCCGGUGAAUAUGUCCCUGCUCCUUGCACA